GGGAUAACACCUGGAAACAGAUGCUAAUACCGGAUAACAACACUAGACGCAUGUCUAGAGUUUGAAAGAUGGUUCUGCUAUCACUCUUGGAUGGACCUGCGGUGCAUUAGCUAGUUGGUAAGGUAACGGCUUACCAAGGCAAUGAUGCAUAGCCGAGUUGAGAGACUGAUCGGCCACAUUGGGACUGAGACACGGCCCAAACUCCUACGGGAGGCAGCAGUAGGGAAUCUUCCACAAUGGACGAAAGUCUGAUGGAGCAACGCCGCGUGAGUGAAGAAGGGUUUCGGCUCGUAAAGCUCUGUUGGUAGUGAAGAAAGAUAGAGGUAGUAACUGGCCUUUAUUUGACGGUAAUUACUUAGAAAGUCACGGCUAACUACGUGCCAGCAGCCGCGGUAAUACGUAGGUGGCAAGCGUUGUCCGGAUUUAUUGGGCGUAAAGCGAGUGCAGGCGGUUCAAUAAGUCUGAUGUGAAAGCCUUCGGCUCAACCGGAGAAUUGCAUCAGAAACUGUUGAACUUGAGUGCAGAAGAGGAGAGUGGAACUCCAUGUGUAGCGGUGGAAUGCGUAGAUAUAUGGAAGAACACCAGUGGCGAAGGCGGCUCUCUGGUCUGCAACUGACGCUGAGGCUCGAAAGCAUGGGUAGCGAACAGGAUUAGAUACCCUGGUAGUCCAUGCCGUAAACGAUGAGUAAUAAGUGUUGG
rnacentral:rRNA from 1 species